rnacentral:rRNA from 1 species
GACGAACGCUGGCGGCGUGCCUAAUACAUGCAAGUCGAGCGAAUCAAUAGGAGCUUGCUCCUGUUGGUUAGCGGCGGACGGGUGAGUAACACGUGGGCAACCUGCCUGUAAGACUGGGAUAACACCGGGAAACCGGUGCUAAUACCGGAUAAUCUUUUUCGUCUCAUGAGGAAAAACUGAAAGUCGGUUUCGGCUGACACUUAUAGAUGGGCCCGCGGCGCAUUAGCUAGUUGGUGAGGUAACGGCUCACCAAGGCGACGAUGCGUAGCCGACCUGAGAGGGUGAUCGGCCACACUGGGACUGAGACACGGCCCAGACUCCUACGGGAGGCAGCAGUAGGGAAUCUUCUACAAUGGACGAAAGUCUGAUGGAGCAACGCCGCGUGAGCGAUGAAGGCCUUCGGGUCGUAAAGCUCUGUUGUUGGGGAAGAACAAGUACCGGAGUAACUGCCGGUACCUUGACGGUACCUAACCAGAAAACCACGGCUAACUACGUGCCAGCAGCCGCGGUAAAAC